AGAGUGAACGCUGGCGGCGUGCUUAACACAUGCAAGUCGAGCGAUUUUCAGCAGCUUAUCGCUGAGAGUAGCGGCAGACGGGUGAGUAAUACUUAGGCAAUCUGCCCUUGAGAGGAAAACAACCUGCUGAAAAGUGGGCUAAUGUUCCAUAUGACCACGGAGUCGCAUGAUUCUGAGGUAAAAGCUCCGCAAGGGGCGCUCGAGGAGGAGCCUGAGGCCUAUCAUGGUAGUUGGCGGGUAAUGGCCCACCAAGCCUACGACGGGUAGCCGGCCUGAAAGGGUGAUCGGACCACA
rnacentral:rRNA from 1 species